GACGAACGCUGGCGGCGUGCUUAACACAUGCAAGUCGAACGGAAAGGCCCUGCUUUUGUGGGGUGCUCGAGUGGCGAACGGGUGAGUAACACGUGAGUAACCUGCCCUUGACUUUGGGAUAACUUCAGGAAACUGGGGCUAAUACCGGAUAGGAGCUCCUGCUGCAUGGUGGGGGUUGGAAAGUUUCGGCGGUUGGGGAUGGACUCGCGGCUUAUCAGCUUGUUGGUGGGGUGGUGGCUUACCAAGGCUUUGACGGGUAGCCGGCCUGAGAGGGUGACCGGCCACAUUGGGACUGAGAUACGGCCCAGACUCCUACGGGAGGCAGCAGUGGGGAAUAUUGCACAAUGGGCGGAAGCCUGAUGCAGCAACGCCGCGUGCGGGAUGACGGCCUUCGGGUUGUAAACCGCUUUCGCCUGUGACGAAGCGUGAGUGACGGUAAUGGGUAAAGAAGCACCGGCUAACUACGUG
rnacentral:rRNA from 1 species